rnacentral:rRNA from 1 species
UACAGAGGGUGCAAGCGUUGUUCGGAAUUAUUGGGCGUAAAGCGCGUGUAGGCGGCUUUGCAAGUCGGGUGUGAAAAGCCCCUCAGCUCAACUGAGGAAGUGCGCCCCGAAACUGCAGAGCUUGAGUGCCGGAGAGGGUGGCGGAAUUCCCCAAGUAGAGGUGAAAUUCGUAGAUAUGGGGAGGAACACCGGUGGCGAAGGCGGCCACCUGGACGGGCAACUGACGCUGAGACGCGAAAGCGUGGGGGAGCAAACAGG